rnacentral:rRNA from 1 species
GUCCACGCUGUAAACGAUGGGCACUAGGUGUCCGGGUAUUGACCCCCUGGGUGCCGCAGCUAACGCAUUAAGUGCCCCGCCUGGGGAGUACGGUCGCAAGAUUAAAACUCAAAGGAAUUGACGGGGCCCGCACAAGCGGUGGAGCAUGUGGUUCAAUUCGACGCAACGCGAAGAACCUUACCUGGGCUAGACAACGGCGGACCGUCCUAGAAAUAGGAUUUUCCCUUCGGGGACCACCGGUUCAGGUGCUGCAUGGCUGUCGU